rnacentral:rRNA from 1 species
CAGCACCUCAAGUGGUCAGGAUGAUUAUUGGGCCUAAAGCAUCCGUAGCCGGCUCUGUAUGUUUUCGGUUAAAUCUGUACGCUCAACGUACAGGCUGCCGGGAAUACUGCAGAACUAGGGAGUGGGAGAGGUAGACGGUACUCGGUAGGAAGUGGUAAAAUGCUUUGAUCUAUCGAUGACCACCUGUGGCGAAGGCGGUCUACCAGAACACGUCCGACGGUGAGGGAUGAAAGCUGGGGAGCAAACCGGAUUAGAUACCCGGGUAGUCCCAGCUGUAAACUAUGCAAACUCAGUGAUGCAUUGGCUUGUGGCCAGUGCAGUGCUGCAGGGAAGCCGUUAAGUUUGCCGCCUGGGAA